AUUUUAUUUAUUACUAGCUUGAGCACGCAACUUCGUCCGCGUAGGCUACAUAAUUUGAAACCCCUAUUUAACUCCCUUAGAAGUUGAAUUUUCAAAAAUCCUUUCUUAGCGGUUGUCUACGUCAUAAUAGCUAUCUGAUGUCUUUCAGCCUGAUCAGUCCAGUAGUUUGAGCUGUGCGUUGAUAGAUCAGUCAGUCAAUCAGUCAGUCAGUCA